CACGUAGGGUGCAAGCGUUGUCCGGAUUCAUUGGGCGUAAAGGGCUAGUAGGCGGCUUAGCAAGUCGGGUGUGAAAUUUCCAGGCUUAACCUGGAACCGCCAUCCGAUACUGCUAUGGCUAGAGUCCGGUAGGGGACCACGGAAUACCUGGUGUAGCGGUGAAAUGCGCAGAUAUCAGGUGGAACACCGAUGGCGAAGGCAGUGGUCUGGGCCGGCACUGACGCUGAAUAGCGAAAGCGUGGGUAGCGAACAGG
rnacentral:rRNA from 2 species